ACGGAGCAUUCUACCGCACCAGGAGAAAGCGAGAUUUAUGCGCGUGUGGACACGAGAGAUGUCCAGGAUAUAUUGUUAAGCAGAAAAGACAUACAUCCCUACCAACCCAGACUACACCCUGUCAGAUGUGUGACCUGACUGGAUGGAGUCCACCUCUGGAACCCAGAUAAGCAGGAGUCCAAAGGCAAGAGUGAAGAGGCCAUGGUCCUAAAGGUGGCAGCUAUGGCAACACCCACAGGCUUCAGGAACAUGGAGGAAGAGGGGGCAGAGAGAAGAUGGAAGACCUUCCUGUGCUCCAGCCACGGACCAGACUAAGGACUCUCGCCUGCGUGGGAACCUCUCUUCCUCUGCCCUCUCUCUUGUAACUCUGGGGCCGAGGGUGUCGCCCUGGGGCCCCUGGUAUCGAGGGCUGCCCCUUGUUCACCCCCCAUUGAGUGGGGUCCAGUGGCUUGAUACAGCCAGAUGCCCACCCGGGGCCGAGUGGAAAGCGUCUGGCAGCCCUCCAGAGUUUGCCUGCCCAGAGCACAGGAGGCACUCUGAUCAGACAUGGGCUCUUUCCCUCCCUGCUCUUUCCCCUACUUCCAUAGCCCACAGGGAGCAGGUAGGGGGAGAGUUAUGAGAAGGGAGAAAAGCUACAAAUAGCAAAGGGUCUCAUAGCUGGGGGGUGCGUUAUAGAGUAC
rnacentral:lncRNA from 1 species